GGGGCCGUAGUCUAGCCUGGUAGGAUGCGUGGCUUGGGCCCACGUGAUCCCGGGUUCAAAUCCCGGCGGCCCCA
rnacentral:tRNA from 2 species